rnacentral:rRNA from 1 species
GAUGAACGCUGGCGGCGUGCCUAAUACAUGCAAGUCGAGCGAACAGACGAGGAGCUUGCUCCUCUGACGUUAGCGGCGGACGGGUGAGUAACACGUGGAUAACCUACCUAUAAGACUGGGAUAACUUCGGGAAACCGGAGCUAAUACCGGAUAAUAUAUUGAACCGCAUGGUUCAAUAGUGAAAGACGGUUUUGCUGUCACUUAUAGAUGGAUCCGCGCCGCAUUAGCUAGUUGGUAAGGUAACGGCUUACCAAGGCAACGAUGCGUAGCCGACCUGAGAGGGUGAAUGGGCACACCUGAACUGAGACACGGUCCAGACUCCCACGGGAGGCAGCAGUAGGGAAUCUUCCGCAAUGGGCGAAAGCCUGACGGAGCAACGCCGCGUGAGUGAUGAAGGUCUUCGGAUCGUAAAACUCUGUUAUUAGGGAAGAACAAAUGUGUAAGUAACUAUGCACGUCUUGACGGUACCUAAUCAGAAAGCCACGGCUAACUACGUG